GUCUACGGGCAUACCGCCCUGAAUGCGCCCGAUCUCGUCUGAUCUCUAAAGCUAAGCAGGAUCGGGCCUGGUUAGUACUUGGAUGGAAGAUUCUCUCCCUCUCUUCACCCUCUAACCCCUGCUCUGGCU
rnacentral:rRNA from 1 species